rnacentral:tRNA from 1 species
GGGGAUUUAGCUCAGUGGCAUAAGCACCUGCCUUGCAAGCAGGAGGUCGUGAGUUCCAUCCCCG